rnacentral:lncRNA from 1 species
CGACUUGUCGUAAAACCUCCCAGGGGCGCACACUUCUGUGGGAGAGAGGCUCGCAGACCAGAGGGAAGCAUCCGAGAGGGGUCCCAGGGCCCUUUGGACGUGUGCCAAGGCUGGAAGUCCUGAGGUCUCUGGAGGGCAAUCUUCAAUUUCUUCACACAGAGAAAAAUAUCUAAAUAAGGUCAGCGUUAAAUAAUAUUGUUCUUCAAUGGUGUGUUAGUCAUCUUUUUGUCACUAUGAUUAAAAUACCCAACAAGAACAACUUAGAGGUGAAAGGUUUAUUUUGGCUCAUGGUUUUUUAGAGGUUCAGUUCACGGUUGGCCAACUUCAUCCCUCUGGGCUUGAAGUCAGGCACAGCAUCAUGGCGGAAGGGCAUGAGGAAGGAAAGCUGCUCAGGUUAUGUAGUUGAGAAGGACAGAGAGGGAGAGAGAGACAGACAGACAGAUAGGGAGAAACCAGAGACAAGACACAGUGCCCAAAAGUAUGUCCCCAGUGACUCACUUCCUCCAGCCAUGCCCACCUGCCCACAAUUACCACCCAGUGGUCCAUUCAAAGUAUUAAUCCAUCAAAUGGAUUAAUCCACUGAUGAGGUUACAACUGAGAAUCUGAUCAUUUCACCUGUGAACAUUCCACCCUGGAUAUCUUGUUUCUAACACAUGAACUUUUAUGGGAGGGGACACUUUAUAUCCAAACCAUAAGGUUCUUUGUUCUGAGCAACAACGUAAAGGGUAAAAGAAUAGAUGUGCACCAACCCCCUAGCAGCAAAAUUGGCUCUUGCCUGUUCAAAGUUAAGUUUCAGGCAGCACGUCCCCUGUUGUGGCUCCAGGACCAGUAGCACCUGUCGCUCUACACUUCUCAGGAAUAGAAAUUCUCAGCCACCUCCCCAGACUUGAUGCAUCAGAAACCCCGGGGAAAGGACCCAGGAGCAGGUGCUGAGCAAGUCCUACGGGCGAUUCUGGUGCAGGUUCUAGUUUGAUGACCACCGAUUCCAUAUUCACUAUGCAAAAGACCACCAGGUGUCUGAAUAUAAGCCAGCAAUAGGGUGUUGCUUACGGAGGAGAGUACGGAGGAGAGAGGUGAACCACCAGGACUCUGGAGCUCAUAAACCAUAUUCCUACCUUCAGGAAAGGGAGUGAUGUGGACACAAAUAAUUUUUUUUUUCCAGCUGAGGCCGAUUGACAUCAAAGCCAUAAAAAACAACUCAGUGUCACAGAAAGGUAAAAUAAACCCACUUAGAUUACCAUUUUCCUUCUUUACAAUAUGAAAUACAGCAUAUUUACUUUUCUUUGUCUUUUUCAGUUAACAUAAAACAAAGCCAGGAAAAAUAGCACUGUUUUCUAUUGUAGUUUAAAAGGAUCCCAGAUUCUACAGCAGAACUCAUUUCCUUAAAGGGCAAAGACUUUCAGGACACCCCUUUUGUACCUAACUCACUCCUUAAAGAAGUCAAAAAGUCCAUAAAGGCAAAAGGAAAAAGUUGCAAAAAUAGCCCAGGAAGAAAUAUAAAUGAGAGACAGAGAAAAAGAUAGGAAUAUAUAGUUGGCCUCUGCAUCGGCAGCUCAGCACCCGUGAUUAUACAAACCAUGGAUGGAAAAUUGUUUGUUUGUUUUUUAAUUGCAUCUGCUUCGAGCAUUUACUGACCUCUUUUUUCUUGUUGUUAUUCCCCAAACAAUACAGUAUAAGAAUUAUUUGCAUAGCAUUUCCAUAGUAGUAGGUAUUAUAAGCCAUCGAGAGGUGAUUUAAUGAUACAGGAGCAUGUACAUAGGUCCUACGCAAGCACUGUGCUGUUUUAAUAAGAGUCUCUGAGGAUUUUGGUAUCCUCAGUGACUGUACGUAGAGAGGAACACAUCACAGUGUCAACAGAAGAAAAUUACAGGGGUUAAAAAGCAAAAGGAUGAUACCUGAGACACAAGGAACUGAAGUGAUUCACAAACUAGAUGAGUAAGGCUCAUGAACUUCAAGUCCCAUCACCUAGCUACUAAGAGACAAAGCUUUUCACAUCUGGAAUCCCAGAAACUCUGGAGGCUGAGGCAGGAGGAUCAUGAGUUUGAGGCCAGCCUCAGCAACUUAGAGAAACCCUGUCUCUGAAAACAAAAAGAUAAAAAUAAAUUCCCGGUUCCCCAAACAAUCAAGCAAGCAAAGAAACAAAAGAAAACUUUUCCUUUAAAAAAAUUAAAUUCAUGAAAAUCUUUGUCCCCAAAUUCUGGCCAAGUAUCAAGAACCAAGAACUAGACUCUUAAGGACAUGGGAUUCUCUCUAAUGGAGGGGACACCUUUGUUCCAGAAGAGAUACUAGGAUCUGUGUGCUGAGCUGCUUGCAAGGCAGUGAGCACUUGGGACAGGGUACCCAAGCCAAGGAGGAUGGGUACCUGUGAUGAAUGGGGCAGAUUCUUGUUAUCAAGAGAAGAGAGGAAAAGGGAGAUUUGGGUUCUUUAAAAAUUUUCCACUUUGCUGAGAAUAUCUUUGAGUUUUAAUUCACAGCAACUGCUUCACAGAUAUGGAAACAUGGCUCAAUGGAGCAAGGUCUGUGAAUUCUCACCCUAAACCACAAUCCACCGCUCACUUCUCAACCAGUCAGUAUCCUGUUUCAUGCUUGGUUCCAUUUCUGAAAUAAGAAUAUAUAUAUCCUAACAUUACAGAGUGCAUGAUAAUUAAGAAAAGCGGACCUGAGAACUUAGAGAGGCGAAGGCUUAGUAGGUACAUUUUAGAAUUCAUGAAGAGUGUUCUGUAGCAAUAACUGAAUCCUUCAAGAGCCAUUGUAGGCAGGGUUGGCCCAAGGGAAAAUACGAUCUGACCCAAACGACAGGAGACAAGCACCCACUCCCAAGGAGGGAACGGCUUAUUCAAGAAAAGACAUCUGAAAGCAUAAACUACCUCGACACACAAAAAGAGACCUCUCAGGCACGUCUUCAGAGUCACAGAAUUACUUACUUCCAGGUAAGGUCAGUUCUUCCAAUUAACACUUCCAUUCAGGAAAACACGAGUCUUCCACUUGGUAUAGCUAGGGGCUGGACAUUCAUUUUGUCAUCUCAGGCAAGAAAUGAGAAAGAACAGUAAGAACUGGGGAUAUAUAGCUCAAUUGGUAGAGUGCUUGCCUCACAUGCACAAGGCCCUGGGUUCAAUCCCCAGCACCACACACAUACAAAAAAAUGUGGUUUAAGAAAGAACAGUAAAGAAAGAGCCACACCCUCAUCCCCACUGGCUUUCAUCAAUCGGUAGGUUGGAGUGUCCAGUAAUGUGUCUGACAAUAUAUUUGGUGGGUGAGAGAGGUUACAGUCCAUCUUACAGGAAGUUCCAAGCUUCUUAGGCUUGUCUGCACUCAUCUUUCCUUGGAUCUGAAGCAUCAUAUCAUUAAUGUAUGAGUAAGCGUCAUACCAGGAAAACAAGUUGAGGAAUUAAGCUUUUUGCUCAAAGACAGCAUUACAGAGGAAGUCAAGGGAUAGUGGGAAAUCACAUGGAAAUAUUUGUUUUCUGUACAUAGGUUCAGACACAAGUUAUCCCCACAAGGGCAUAAUCUGUCUUUCAAUCUGUAGGUGGAAAAUCCUUCUCUGCCUUCCCUUGAGAGGAGGAGAACUGGAUUUGAACAUAUCUCUCUUUGGUGCACGUGGUACCUCCCUUGCACUUCUUCAAAGCUAAGAGCGCUGGGACAACGAGGAGAUGCUUUCCCUUGGGUAACACUAUCACAUCAAGCAUGAUCUCUCUUGAAUCAACAGAGUUCAUAAGGAUCAUUCUCGUAUCAGGACAGCUAAAUGGACAAAUAAUAUCUAGGCUUCCAUGCAAGAAUGUUUGAUCAAUAAAACACUGGAAUUAGGGCAUUUUCCAUUAAUCAAAUUGCUUCACCAUUAAAAAGCCGAUCUAGGAAUGAGGUAAAAUUUCACGUGGCUGCCAAUGACUUGUUACCCAGUGAUGACCUUGGGUCAAGACGGAGAGAGCAUAUCCUGGGCUGACUUAGGCAGGACUUCAAAGCUGUGAUAUGAUGAAGCUAAAAGAAAAGGGACCCAAGUAGCCCAUGAAUAGUGUCCUCGAUCCUGGCAUUUGGAGAGCCUUCUCCACUCAAGGUAAAUACAAGGUUGAUUGCACCGUUUGAUUUCCAGCAUACCACGUCUCUGGUAUUUAUGAGUACAGUCUGAAAGAAUGAAAAGAGUGCAAAAGACAGAGGAGGCCAUCCAGUUCCUAAGCACCUUUGUACACAAGAGAAAAAAGAAGUGGUAGUAAGUGCGCUUGUGCCAAAUUCCACCAUGAAGACACGUUCCUCUUUUGGAGAUCACAUUCUUUUCUUGCUUGAUAAGAAUCAGGAGAACUGACGGUUAUCGAAUGCCUACUACGAGCUAAGCAAUUUACAGACAUUCCUUGUUAACUUUUCACAACCAAGUCAAGGAAAUGCUGUUAUUGUAUCCAUUUUCAGAUUAAGAAACUGAAGUCAAGAAGAUUAAGGGGGGAAAAAAACCCCUUCAUUUGGUGGUACUGGACAGUUGGUGGCAGAUUUAAAUAUGUUGUGUACAACGACAAAACCAGAAUUCUUCCCAUUAUAUGUGGUUGUUCUAGCAAUGUCAACUGGGAGCUUUAAUGUCCCCUCUUGCUGCUGAUUAUCAAAAUGUAAUAAUUUUAUGCACCCCCCCCACACACACACACCCCACACAGACACACACCCCACACACAUACACAUUUGUGCUCAGCUCAGUGGUCAAGUGCAGGAACUCUGGAAUGAAACCCAAAUACUAACCCUGACUCUGCCCAGUGGACAAGGCACCCAGGCACUCUCUGACCCGGUUUCUAUUUUGUGAAAGUUAUACCAAUAGUGUUCAUAUCCUGGCUCAGGAACGGUGGUGUCUGGAGGAACACUGACUCAAUUUUAUAAAGGGAAGAGUUAUCCCAGUCUAGGAUUAAAAAUAAACCCAAUGAAGAUCUCCAAAUUGUCAUAUUGUCCUCUUGCAUUAGAAUAAAAAUUUACUAAAAUUUUAAGAGUAAAGUAAAAACUGGGGUUGUGAAUAUUUUAAACAUUAUGCAAAUAUUAGUCCUAACUGAUAUAUCAAUAAGGGUACAAUUUUUGAGUAAUAUUGUUUGUUCAGUGCUCCUGGAAAUGUUUAGACAAUGGAAAUUUAGUGCCAAGGAGGUCAAGAUUCAAAUGUAAGUCUACUUAUAGGACAGGUAGUUUUAUUUCUGCUCCAUGCCCAGGGAUUCCCUAAUCCCUAUAUAAUGAGUAUCAUGGGCCAUCCAGGCUCCCUGAAUUAGAAAAAAAAAUGUAUACUCUACAAAACACAUGACUUACUGAGAAUCAGGGAGUAGUUCAGUCAUGAACUGGAAUGUGAUCCUUUUAUUGUUGUGAUUAAAAAUUCUAAUUUGACACUGAUUCUCAGCAUUUACAAAGGACGGGGUUCUGACCCAUGGUGCAACGUGGAUAAACCUGGAGGAUUACCCUGUGUGAAAUAAGCCUCUCACCAAAGGACAAACACUGCAUGUUUUCACGUACAAGCGGUACCAGGACGCAUAAAACUCACAGAAACAGUACGUAGGGUGGUGAUUGUCAGGAUCUAAGGGAAGCGGACGGUGACAAGUUGUCUCACAGGUACAGAGUUUUACAAGAUGAAACAAAUCUAGAGAUCACUUACCCAGCGACAUCAGUGUCCUCCACAUGACAGACGUACACACGGUUAAGACGGUCAAUUUUAUGUUACAUGUAGUUUGCGACAAUUAAAGAUCUUUAAAAUACUGAUUUCAAUCAAACCAACUUGUGGCUGCCCUGGGGGCCACCAAUUAGUGGAAGGGUGUCCUGUUGUUACUGAUGUGUAAGAUCCGAAGGAAUUAUCUAUGCCUCUCCCUGUCAGCAGCCAGUCUGGGUGAUGUGCUGCAGAUGUGGUCUCUGCUCCCCAAUCCAAACAAGAGUCUAGGCCACCCACCCUUGGCCUUUGGUUCUGUCCUCGGGGAGCUGCAAAUCUGACCCUUGAAAGAAGGGCUAUGUGUGGGGAACAUACAUGUGUGCACCCCAAGGGGGCUGCCCUGAUGGACCCCUUUGCCUACAGGCAUCUGGAUGGGCAUGAUAAAGUCUGCUGCACAGGGCAGUUGUACUGAAUCUCACGGUUGUCAGAUGUGGUGUUUUUGUUCCUGAUGACAUUGUUGGAGCUCUAGGCUGCAUCCCAGCUGUCAGUUUUAGCAUCCAUGUAUUUUCCUGGUAUGCAAAUGUCAACUUUGCAGUUUAUAACUCUGGCCAUUCCUCCAAGCAGGAAAUGACUGAGCCCUUUGGUGAGUGGAAUUUAUUUAGAUUUCUGGUUUCAACGCCUCAGGUUAAAAUUGCUGCCAAUUAAUUCUUCUAAGGUAUGUUUGAACUUCACAAGUGUAUGGAUUGAAUAUCUAUGAUUUUUUUUCUAGGUUGGAGAAAGGAGGAGAGAAGACAAACAUCUUGAGUUUCAACACAAAUGAGAGCCACAAUCCAGUCCAGCAUACUAGUUAAUUAACAAAUGAUUAUUCUCCAAAAUAGUAACAUAGUGCAAAAGGAAUCUUCUUAUUUAAUAAUAAUUAUUGCUUUAUUGACACUUUAGCAUUAAUUCUUUGUUCUCCCCUCUAUAGCCACUCAAAUAUUUCCCCAUGCACAUACAUGUUGAUGUGUGUGAGAUAAUGUGUGUGUUGUACCUAUUGCAGAGUAAAAAGAACGGUAAUUUGAAGUAACUACAGCGCUUGCCAUUGAAAGAGUAGAUAUUUUGCCCUGAUACCUAUGUCACCUGUUAUGACACUAUUAUUUUUAAAACACAGCUAUCAAACAGCUCAUAGUUCGCCACAGAAAUCAAAAUGCACAGUGACAGUCUUUAUCCUACAUGUCUCAUGAUUCAAAUCCUCACGAAAAGUAGAGGCCCCACUGAAGAUCAAGUGCCACCUGUUACUGGGAUGGGGCCAAGUGACCUCUGACCUGACUGUCACUAGGGAGUUUGGGUCACAUCUGUGAUUUCCAUCAACACCCACCACCUUCCAUGCAGAGCCCAGGGCAGAUGUUGGUGAAAUCAGGAAGCUGCUUUCAAAGGACAGAUGAAAGGAACACUGGGAUCAAACAGCUUAGCCCAGUGACUGAUUCUCUACGCACAGUUCUAAGAAAUGACCUGUCCUUGGCCUUUUAAAAUGUUACUUCCAGAAUCUCAACCUGUCAGGCAACUGGAGAGGAGCCACAGCAGGUGAGACCAUGGGAUGUGACCAGGGGGUCUGGACGGCAAAAACAAAGCCACUUCAGCCCCCAGGCUCGAAGCUACAGUAGGGACACUUCCAAGACUGGAGCCUUCGCUAGGAGAACCUGGGGGCUGCUUCUCAGGCAACAGAACUGCAGAAACCAGAAGUGCCCUUGGCAGGAAUGAUUUCAGUUUUAAUGAGAAGGGGAACAGGAGCUUCAAAUGGGGUUUCCCUUUUAGGUUCUACUGUGAACAGGUGUUGGCUUUACUCAAGGAAAAAUUUCACAGGGGUGAUUUCAUGCAUAACCAAGAGCAAUGAUGCUUUGUUGUUUUUGUUUGUUUGCUUACUUUAUAAGAUCAUUCCAGAGGCUUUGUACAUGCAUAUUAAGUGUUUGUGUGUGAGUGUGUGUGUGUCCAGUUGCACAAAGUCACCAAAAAGUCCUGGUAACCAUCUUCAGAGCCCAUUCACUGAUUUUCUUCUCCUUUAUGUUCUGUUUCACAAUCUGGGGAAGUGUGGCGUUCCCCCACUUCAACUCAUACAGUGUCCCUUUCAUUAUGUUAAUUUCUGUCCUUUCCAAGAUUAACAUUUGACCUGCCACCCCACUCAUGUUGGCCAAUGUUCCCAACCAACCAUGUGCCCUGAAUAACGGGAUGAGACAUGAGGACCUUGUCCAUCUUUCCUGAUAGCGUGGCUGUGUCUCUGGGAAUUGUGUGUCAUAACCAACUUGCUGGUCUCCGCCUUCACCAGAGCUUCACAAUAUCCUGUCUUUCCAAGAAUGCCAUCAGGGGGAAGGAAAAGUCAGCUCAGCUGAUUUCACCCAUUUUGCCUCCCCCUCCCCCAACCCACUCCUUGUCUUCCUUCUUUUUCAUCCCGCCCUUCAAUCUGCUGGAUUCUCUAAGAGGCUGCACUGUGUUGUUACGUUGCAGAUGGAUUAACGGACGGAUGAAUGGAUGAAUGGACUGACGGAUGGAGGUAUGGAUGGAUAUUUAUUCUAGGGGUGGGCUUCCCCAGAAGCCCUCUGAGAUAAGAAUUCACACGUAAAUAAGAAACUGGUAAAGGAAUAGAGAAGUGAAGGAAUAGAGAAAAGGGAAGUGAAGGCAACUAUUCAAAGAGAAUAGUCACCUAAGUUACCACUUAGCUAAAUCCCACUGGGGCAUUUGAUGCCCCAGACCAUGAUGAUCUGCCUGGCCACAGGCAGGCAGUGAAGGCAACCGAUCGUGGACUUGAACCCUGGAGACGGAGAGAUCUCAAGCUCAUCUCAGAGCCAUUGAAUCAGAAUGUAAAAUUUUAACAGAAUCCCCAAAUGAUCAAGUUUGUCAAGUACUGGGGUAGAAUGUCUCAGUUACAGAUUAAAGGACAAGAGAACUGUGCUAGGCGUCCAACUCCCCAUUUGACAUUAGUUGUGAGCUAUUUUUGAAGGUUCUGGCUUUUCGACAUGGCCUCUGUGUGGCCAGAGCAUUCAUGCUCCAGUGGCCAGAAAGAAAGUCCCCAAACAGAAAACAAAAGUUUUAGCAAAAAAGCAGCCUUCAGUCUGUAGAGUUACACUAUAAGUCCAGCUGUGUCCCGAUAAGUCAUGAAUCUGAUGUUUAAACUGAGGUUAUAGUGUAAUGGUGAUAACCAAAACCUUAAUACUGAUUGAAUGUUAAAGACACAUCAAAUAGAUGAAAGUAAGCAAGAUUCAAUCUAGGCUUAUAUUCUAAAUAGUCAGUUUACCUUAGCAGAGAAAUACAAUUAUCACAUUCACUUUAGAAGCCUUAAGAUAAAUAUAACAUUACUUUGUAGUUAUUUCAGCCGAUUUCAAGUAGACCAUGAAUGAGGUCAGGAAACAGGUUGCCUUGUUUCCUAGGCUUAUUGUUAGUCCUGGUAUUAGCUCUCGGGAGUGGUGGUAGCUACAUGACUGACAUCUUUCAUUGCCAUCACAAACCAUGCACUACAUUUAUUCUGGAGCACAUUCAAGAGCUGAAAUUAUAAUGGAAAAAAAGACUUGACUCCUAUUAUAAUGUUAAGCACUGGUAAAGACAUUUGGAUAGCAUCCAUAAAAAUCUAUGGCUAUUCCCAGACACAAUAAAGUAACUACACAAGAAAAGCAGUUUCCACCAAGAUGUUAGUUUUUAUAUACUUACAUUUCAAAAGUGUACCAAAGUGUUCUAUAGCAUACAAGGAAAAAUGGGUUUAUUAAAAAGGAAUUCAAGAUGUAUCCAAAGUUUCUAAAUCUGCUUAGAAAAAAAAUCAAAUAGCAAUUUAUUAGAAAUAUCAAAUUAAAAAUAUAAUUUUAAAGAUUUUUAUCCUUAGAUAAUAUGACUGUAGAAAAUGUGACUCCAGAACUUUCACACAUGAUAGAAUGUAUUAAUUUGUGAGCUAAGAUUGUAAAUCCAAUACUUGAACUUUAUUUAAUAUAAUGAAAAGUAAAAAUAAAUGAGCUAAGAUUGUAAGUCCAAUACUUGAACUUUAUUUAAU